GGGGAAUUUUGGACAAUGGGCGCAAGCCUGAUCCAGCAAUGCCGCGUGCAGGAUGAAGGCCUUCGGGUUGUAAACUGCUUUUGUACGGAACGAAAAGCCUCUCUCUAAUACCCUGUAUGGAUGACGGUACCGGAAUAAGAAGCACCGGCUAACUACGUGCCAGCAGCCGCGGUAAUACGUAGGGUGCGAGCGUUAAUCGGAAUUACUGGGCGUAAAGCGUGCGCAGGCGGUUUUGUAAGACAGGCGUGAAAUCCCCGGGCUCAACCUGGGAACUGCGCUUGUGACUGCAAGACUAGAGUACGGCAGAGGGGGGUGGAAUUCCACGUGUAGCAGUGAAAUGCGUAGAGAUGUGGAGGAACACCAAUGGCGAAGGCAGCCCCCUGGGUCGAUACUGACGCUCAUGCACGAAAGCGUGGGGAGCAAACA
rnacentral:rRNA from 1 species